GACGAACGCUGGCGGCGUGCCUAAUACAUGCAAGUUGAGCGCUGAAGGUUGGUACUUGUACCAACUGGAUGAGCAGCGAACGGGUGAGUAACGCGUGGGGAAUCUGCCUUUGAGCGGGGGACAACAUUUGGAAACGAAUGCUAAUACCGCAUAAAAACUUUAAACACAAGUUUUAAGUUUGAAAGAUGCAAUUGCAUCACUCAAAGAUGAUCCCGCGUUGUAUUAGCUAGUUGGUGAGGUAGAGGCUCACCAAGGCGAUGAUACAUAGCCGACCUGAGAGGGUGAUCGGCCACAUUGGGACUGAGACACGGCCCAAACUCCUACGGGAGGCAGCAGUAGGGAAUCUUCGGCAAUAGACGAAAGUCUGACCGAGCAACGCCGCGUGAGUGAAGAAGGUUUUCGGAUCGUAAAACUCUGUUGGUAGAGAAGAACGUUGGUGAGAGUGGAAAGCUCAUCAAGUGACGGUAACUACCCAGAAAGGGACGGCUAACUACGUG
rnacentral:rRNA from 1 species